rnacentral:rRNA from 1 species
AACGAACGCUGGCGGCGUGCCUAACACAUGCAAGUCGAGCGCGAUUAGUUGGACUGGAGGCUUCGGCCAAAGGGAAGAUUAUGAAAGCGGCGGACGGGUGAGUAACGCGUGAGCAACCUGCCCUGUACAGGGGGAUAGCCACUGGAAACGGUGAUUAAUACCCCAUAACCCCAAAGGACCGCAUGGUCCAAUGGGCAAAGCCACAAGCGGUACAGGAUGGGCUCGCGUCUGAUUAGCUAGUUGGUGAGGUAACGGCUCACCAAGGCGACGAUCAGUAGCCGACCUGAGAGGGUGAACGGCCACACUGGAACUGAGACACGGUCCAGACUCCUACGGGAGGCAGCAGUGGGGAAUAUUGCACAAUGGGCGCAAGCCUGAUGCAGCAACGCCGCGUGAGUGAAGAAGGCCUUCGGGUCGUAAAACUCUGUCCUAAGGGAAGAAGAAGUGACGGUACCUUAGGAGGAAGCCCCGGCUAACUACGUGCCAGCCGCCGCGGUAA